UACGUAGGGGGCUAGCGUUGUCCGGAAUCAUUGGGCGUAAAGAGCGCGUAGGCGGCCAGAUAAGUCCGGUGUGAAAGUCAAAGGCUCAACCUUUGAAUGCCGCUGGAAACUGUCUGGCUAGAGUCCGGGAGGGGCGAGUGGAAUUCCUAGUGUAGAGGUGGAAUGCGCAGAUAUCAGGAAGAACACCAACGGCGAAGGCAGCUCGCUAGGACGGUACUGACGCUGAGACGCGAAAGCGUGGGGAGCGAACAGG
rnacentral:rRNA from 1 species